GAUGAACGCUGGCGGCGUGCCUAAUACAUGCAAGUCGAGCGAACGGACGAGAAGCUUGCUUCUCUGAUGUUAGCGGCGGACGGGUGAGUAACACGUGGAUAACCUACCUAUAAGACUGGGAUAACUUCGGGAAACCGGAGCUAAUACCGGAUAAUAUUUUGAACCGCAUGGUUCAAAAGUAAAAGACGGUCUUGCUGUCACUUAUAGAUGGAUCCGCGCUGCAUUAGCUAGUUGGUAAGGUAACGGCUUACCAAGGCAACGAUGCAUAGCCGACCUGAGAGGGUGAUCGGCCACACUGGAACUGAGACACGGUCCAGACUCCUACGGGAGGCAGCAGUAGGGAAUCUUCCGCAAUGGGCGAAAGCCUGACGGAGCAACGCCGCGUGAGUGAUGAAGGUCUUCGGAUCGUAAAACUCUGUUAUUAGGGAAGAAUAUAUGUGUAAGUAACUGUGCACAUCUUGACGGUACCUAAUCAGAAAGCCACGGCUAACUACGUGCCAGCAGCCGCGGUAAUACGUAGGUGGCAAGCGUUAUCCGGAAUUAUUGGGCGUAAAGCGCGCGUAGGCGGUUUUUUAAGUCUGAUGUGAAAGCCCACGGCUCAACCGUGGAGGGUCAUUGGAAACUGGAAAACUUGAGUGCAGAAGAGGAAAGUGGAAUUCCAUGUGUAGCGGUGAAAUGCGCAGAGAUAUGGAGGAACACCAGUGGCGAAGGCGACUUUCUGGUCUGUAACUGACGCUGAUGUGCGAAAGCGUGGGGAUCAAACAGGAUUAGAUACCCUGGUAGUCCACGCCGUAAACGAUGAGUGCUAAGUGUUAGGGGGUUUCCGCCCCUUAGUGCUGCAGCUAACGCAUUAAGCACUCCGCCUGGGGAGUACGACCGCAAGGUUGAAACUCAAAGGAAUUGACGGGGACCCGCACAAGCGGUGGAGCAUGUGGUUUAAUUCGAAGCAACGCGAAGAACCUUACCAAAUCUUGACAUCCUUUGACAACUCUAGAGAUAGAGCUUUCCCCUUCGGGGGACAAAGUGACAGGUGGUGCAUGGUUGUCGUCAGCUCGUGUCGUGAGAUGUUGGGUUAAGUCCCGCAACGAGCGCAACCCUUAAGCUUAGUUGCCAUCAUUAAGUUGGGCACUCUAAGUUGACUGCCGGUGACAAACCGGAGGAAGGUGGGGAUGACGUCAAAUCAUCAUGCCCCUUAUGAUUUGGGCUACACACGUGCUACAAUGGACAAUACAAAGGGCAGCGAAACCGUGAGGUCAAGCAAAUCCCAUAAAGUUGUUCUCAGUUCGGAUUGUAGUCUGCAACUCGACUACAUGAAGCUGGAAUCGCUAGUAAUCGUAGAUCAGCAUGCUACGGUGAAUACGUUCCCGGGUCU
rnacentral:rRNA from 1 species